AAUGCCUAUAGUCAAUGGUUCUCGAGUGCAAUUGCUUACCCUACUCCUCAACUUGCACUUUUCACAUACUUAUCUUGCUUUUGCUUGUCCAAAUGGAACCAUAUUAAUAAUCCCCAGUCUUACACUAUUCAAAUGUUUUGCCCAACUUUUUCUUUCUCCAAAAGAAACUCCAGAAUAAGUCACUAUACACCUUUCAAGUUGAGGUUGCUGGUUGUCGACUUUUUGGUUCUCGACCCAGUAAGGAGGUUGGGAAGAAGCCCAUAGGAUGUUUCCUUUGAGCUGGCUAGUUGUGCUAAACACGCUUCCUGAGGUGAUCGUAGCCAACUAAGACUUGGUCACAACUCGCAAAAAAGGGUCAUGUCAUACAUAGGUGUUGCGAUGAUGCAAUUGUAAGCUCUCAUGUUUAACCAAGAUAGGAUGAGAUGAGAUGAGAUCGAUAUAACAAGACGUCGAGAAGUCAUCGGAGAUAGUCUUCAGACGAAGAUCGAGAUAAAAAGCCAAAAACAGAGUUAUACCCAUUUCGGAUAUCUUAAAUUCCCCCUCAGGAAAUGUCCAUUCCACACAGCCCUUUCCUCUAUAUGUAGUAGAAGCCCAUUCCAUUACCUUACAAAGGGAAUGGAGAAGAACAAUUCCCUCACACCAAACUACAAGUCUUGUUUGACAAAUAUUGCUCUCCACUUCUCCUUGCUCCCCCUAUCCCUCUCAACCAAACACUACAACUCUAUCUCUCUCUCUCGGCCUAACACUACAACAAAUCCAACUGAUGGCAGAAGUAGAGGAAGCAGUAAGCUUCAAACUUUUCGGGACGGUGAUCCAAAAGGGGGACAGACAAGCCAAGGAGGAAGAGGAGAAGCGGGUGGAGGCGCAGGAAGAGGCGGCGGCGCUGCCGUGCCCGAGGUGCAAGAGCAAGGAGACCAGGUUCUGCUACUUCAACAACUACAACGUCAACCAGCCGCGCCACUUCUGCAAGGCCUGCCACCGCUACUGGACAGCCGGCGGCACCCUCCGCAGAAACGUUCCCGUCGGCGCUGGCCGCCGGAGGGGUCGCCCCGCACACCGCAUAGGAGCCUCCUCCGCCGCCGCAUCAACCGCAUCCAUCCCUUCUGUCUGCGUCCUGGUGUGCCAGCCGUCUGGCUACUCUGACGGGGCGGCGGCGAUGGAUCGCUGGCUCCUGACACCAGAGGCCCCGGCGAUAGUUGACCGCACGCACAAUCGUGGACCUCGUUGACUCUCGAGGAUCUACUCCUCGAGUCACAGUGUACGGCUCCCACAGCCAAAGGAUGUCUGUAUGUUUGUGAUCUUUUAACCAACCGUGGAAAUGGACAUCUCCUUUACUUCGCCAUGAAAA